rnacentral:rRNA from 1 species
GGGACUGAGACACGGCCCAGACUCCUACGGGAGGCAGCAGUGGGGAAUAUUGCACAAUGGGCGAAAGCCUGAUGCAGCAACGCCGCGUGAGGGAUGACGGCCUUCGGGUUGUAAACCUCUUUUAGUAGGGAAGAAGCGAGAGUGACGGUACCUGCAGAAAAAGCACCGGCUAACUACGUGCCAGCAGCCGCGGUAAUACGUAGGGUGCAAGCGUUGUCCGGAAUUAUUGGGCGUAAAGAGCUCGUAGGCGGUUUGUCGCGUCUGCUGUGAAAUCCCGAGGCUCAACCUCGGGUCUGCAGUGGGUACGGGCAGACUAGAGUGUGGUAGGGGAGAUUGGAAUUCCUGGUGUAGCGGUGGAAUGCGCAGAUAUCAGGAGGAACACCGAUGGCGAAGGCAGAUCUCUGGGCCAUUACUGACGCUGAGGAGCGAAAGCAUGGGGAGCGAACAGGAUUAGAUACCCUGGUAGUUCAUGCCGUAAACGUUGGGCGCUAGAUGUGGGGACCAUUCCACGGUUUCCGUGUUGUAGGUAACGCAUUAAGCGCCCCGCCUGGGGAGUACGGCCGCAAGGCUAAAAC